ACUGGGAACAAACCUCUGUGAGCCCUGAGGUGGGACCCUGAUCCCGGCGCCCAGAGCAAGUCAAGUCCGGCGGGAGCUGUGUCACAAAGUGAGAGGCUAUCGAGGCAGAUGAACCCUGAAAGUCAUAUGUUGAAGAACCACAAGAUGGAAGGAGGCUGAGUUUCUGGGUCACUGUCAGACUAGAAAUGUUUAUGUGGACUUUAGCUCAGGUCAUGAUCUCAGGGAUGUGAAAUGGAGCUCUGCUUCAGAUUCCAUGGGUUCUAGGCCCAGAGCUUUGCUAAUAUGCUUGGAUGUAUUAAGCUUAUUAUAACUGACUAAACUGGUAAGAAUGCUGACAAAUAAGCAACUAAGAUCUUCAUACUUAAUUUUAAAUGGUCCAGUUCCACAAACAAAUCAAUGACAGUUUGUCUUGCCUACAGAUGUUUGUUCAAAUAUAUCAGUUACAUCAUCGUUCAGAAUGUUACACUCCAGAUUUUAUUCUAAACACAAAUGAGAGACAUUUCUGAGUUCUUAGAAGUGUGGGAAAUGUGGUAUUCUUAUAAGAUACAAACAUUAAAAUUCCUUCAGACAUUUCCAUUUGUGUCACAAUAUAAACCAAAAAACAAACACCCUGCCCCCAGACCCAGGCUGCUAAUCGUAUCACAUACUGUGAAGCUCAAGUGGGUUAUGACUGCCCAAAAUUGAAGCAGUUUUUAUUAAGAAAAGCAAUAAAUGAGAGAUCUAAAAGUUAAACUGUCUCCGUGCCAAAUCAACAAAUUGUAGGUGUUAUAAAACCUACAAAUCUUAGUUUUCAAAAUGAUAUUGAAG